rnacentral:rRNA from 1 species
GACGAACGCUGGCGGCGUGCCUAAUACAUGCAAGUCGAACGGUUUAGUUCCAAGAGGCAAGACUCUUGGAACUAAGCAGUGGCGGACGGGUGAGUAACACGUAGGCAACCUACCUGUCAAACCGGGAUAACCUCGGGAAACCGAAGCUACACCCGGAUAAGCUCCUUUUUCGCAUGAAGGGGGAGUGAAAAGGUGCGCCCUGAAGACAGAUCGGCCUGCGGCGCAUUAGCUAGUAGGUAGGGUAACGGCCUACCUAGGCGAUGAAGCGUAGCCGACCUGAGAGCGCGUACGGCCAGACUGGGACUGGGCUCCGGCCCAGACGCCUACGGGAGGCAGCAGUAGGGAAGCUUCGGCAACGAGCGAAAGCCUGACCGAGCAACGCCGCGUGAGUGAGGAAGGCAUUCGGGUUGUAAAACUCUGUUGUUUGGGAAGAAGGGAAAGGGUAGGACCCCUUGGUGACGGUACCAAACGAGAAAGCGACGGCUAACUACGUG